rnacentral:rRNA from 1 species
GUAACAUGGUAAGUAUACCGGAAGGUGGAGGAAAA